GUCAAGGUCACACUUAAGAGGCCAAAGGUCACAUACAAGAAUGACUUUGUCAGGAGCAUUUCUUCUUCAUACAGGAUGGAAUUUGAAGUAACUUGGCACAUUUGUACACAAUCAUGAUCAGACAGAGUUGAGGUCUUGGCAAAUGUUUGACUCAUAUACUACUAUUCAGAUGAUUAGGCAGAUGUGGGAGGACAUGCAUUUUUCUCAGAAGCAGCUCUAGUUAAAGUUAUUGAAAGUUUACUACAAAAUUUUCAUGAUCAUAAUCGUUUAAAAAAUUAAGUACCGAUAUUUCACUGUGUACUCACAAUCGCAGUAUGCUAAGUUACUCGCAUGUCUUCUAGUAUUAGUCAAUACUGUAAGUUAUAGAUUACCUGUGUUACUGUGUUAUAUGACUUGAUGUGCUUGCACAGAAAUAUACAUGUCGAAUGACAGAAAUCUGUGUCCCAGAUAUGAUGAUGUUAAUAAAACACAUGACAUACAUCAAUGACAGUUUUAAAACAUUUUUUUUCAGGCAUUUCCCCGAAAGUAGGAGAAUUUUGAUAGAGAUUCCGCAUAUGACAGACUACAGUAUAUUGGAAGUCAUCAACCAUUGUGUCAAGUGAGCAUACAUCAGUAGGUCAGACAAAUGACAUACAUCCAGUUCCUGGUUAAGGAAACCCAAAAGGAGCAGUUGCAGAGUUAUCAACAAAAGUAUGCUUGUGUCUGUAGGACAACUGCACUAGGACUUUUUCAACAAUAAAAGCUGUCCACACUCAUAUGUUCUAUAGAAGCCAGCAAAAUGACUUGAACAUAAAGGCUAAGCAUGUACAAUGUAUAUGCCAAUACUUUAUUCAACAUGUUCCACUCAAAGGAAGUUCCUCCUUUGCCCAACAAUAAUGAGAGUAUAGCUGAAAGUAAUACUACACUUGUGUAAGGAUGAGUAAUUUAAGAAACAAAAUGUAGAAUUAGCUUCAAUUUCAAACAAAAAGACUUCAUGAAAGAAUUUUAACACUGAUAAAGUGACAUUAACAAAGUCGACCCCUUUGUGGCAGCGGAGGAAAUGAGACUGUCGGGAACGUUUACCAGACAUAAAUUCUUGUCAGGUCAACAAAUCAGCUCCUACUUCUUUCGUUUUCAUCAACUCGAAAAGACAACAGAUAUUGAAAAUUAUGACUCAGAUGUUAAAGAAGAUCGAAAGAAAGCUAUCCGAUCAAAAAGUUCUUUCAAGUCUCAAAAUUUAUGACAGCAGGCACUUAAGACAAAAUAGGACUACUUCCAUGGCUGACAAUUCAAAGUUAGCAGAAGACUUAAGUAAUAAUUUAUAGCAAAACCAUUUUUAACUCUGUUUAUUCACAUUGGGUGUUUUAGGUCAAGCAACAGCAGUUAUUUCAUAUAUGACGUUUAACAGUCGGAUUGUAUAGUGUUCAAACACAUCUUGCUAGAAAUUACUGCUAUUCUAAUAUAUCUGGUAUUGUGAAAGUUAGAUCAAACAUGAUAGAACUGUUUAUUUUGCGCAUGUUUGGCACCAAAUGGUAGGUCGUCACAUUCUUUGUUAGUACCAGAAAUGGUAUGCUUGCACAUCAAACCGGCAUUUCCAGAGAUUUUACCAAUAAUGGCAAAACCCAUCUGACGUCCCCCAUGCCUGAUGACUUUCAUGCUGUUAGUGACAACUAGAGAUUCAUGCACGUAUAUCGUUUAUGUAAAAUACGAAAAAAGUCAGAUAUAUUGAUAGUUUCUGAACGUUCCUUGUAGCAUAUUUCUUGAUUCAAAAUAUGUUACUUUAUGGUAAUUUACGCUACAAAUGAUAAAGCUAAAGUGGAACUUUAUUACUGUGCAUGACUGAAAUGUAUUGAAGUCACUUCUGCUUACGGACAUGUAUUUCCCGCACUUGAUGUACAUACUCUAAAAAAGAGUGCUACAAAGGAAGUAUUUCUAUUUGCUUUAUUUUUUUUAUUUGUAAAAUACGGUGUGCAUGAAACAUAGGCUGUACGUCAGAAUAUAAAACUUUUAUGUAUAAGAUAUGCAAGAAAAAACUUUAAUCAUGUGUUUACGAUUCGGAUAGAAAUAUCCGUCCCUCAGCCACCUUAGCAUGGGUGCAUGGUAACGAGGCUUGUAGAGUUGCCGCCCAAAGUGGCAGGUGCCCUCGGGAUGGAUAUUUCUAUCUGAUACGUAAACAAAUGACAGAUAUUAUUAAUACAUUUUGCGGAAUAGUUCCUUUAAGGCGCAAAUGAUAGAGAAAGGGUACAGCAAAUAACUAGCUUAGGGUAUGUGUAAAUUAAUCAAGACAGUUGUGUUGUGUGAUAUUUCGUUUUAGAACAUGUUUUCUGAGUAAAAUAUUUGAUCAAAUUUGAAGCACUGUUUCUUGAUACAUACAUGGUGCUCUAUUGAAAUGACAUCAACAUUAACAUAGAAAC
rnacentral:lncRNA from 1 species